AUAAAUCCUUUGACGAGAAGAGUAACUUUAUUAAAAUUCUUUUAGCGAAUUGGGAAUUUGGUGUAAGCCCAUAAGAAAGAUAAAGUGAAGAGAGCCUCUGAGGAGCACCUGAAAUGAGUAAGGAUAGCCGCAAAGCAAAGAUCUUUGCGUUAACAAAAAGAGAGGCACAAAUUUUGUGCAAUUAGAGUGGUACCGCGGAACUUAUCCGUCUCUUAA
rnacentral:ncRNA from 1 species